rnacentral:rRNA from 1 species
CCUACGGGUGGCAGCAGUGAGGAAUAUUGGUCAAUGGGCGGGAGCCUGAACCAGCCAAGUCGCGUGCGGGAUGAAGGCCCAGCGUAUCGUAAACCGCUUUUGCCCGGGGAUAACACCCUCCACUUGUUGACGGCUGCAGGUACCGUGCGAAUAAGGACCGGCUAAUUCCGUGCCAACAGCCGCGGUAAUACGGAAGGCCCGAGCGUUAUCCGGAUUCAUUGGGCUUAAAGGGAGCGUAGGCGGGCGUUCAAGUCAGCUGUAAAAGCGCGCGGCUCAACCGCGCCCCGCCGUUGAAACUGGACGCCUUGAGUUCACAACAGGCAGGCGGAAUGCGUGGUGUAGCGGUGAAGUGCAUAGAUAUCACGAGGAACCCCGAUUGCGAAGGCAGCGUGCCGGGGUGCGACUGACGCUGAGGCUCGAAGGUGUGGGUAUCAAACAGGAUUAGAUACCCGUGUAGUC